GUUCGCCCAGGCCUUCGCAGCUGGGUGCGCCAGCAACUGCUGGGCCGGGACAGUGAAGCAGAGGAGGGGGAGGUGGGGAAGCUGUUCCUGGCUCCCCAAGACUCAACCAUGGAAGGUACAGAAAGGUGUGUGACAAGAAACUUAUGGCUUUUAAUUCUGGCAGGAAGGACAAGGAAAACCAAGGAUAAAGGUUUGAUCAAGUUUUAUUAUUCUCCCACUGGAGAUGGGGGAGGGGGAAUCAGUCAUAUUUAAUAAACAUCUGUCUCCUCAUCC